rnacentral:lncRNA from 1 species
GAAAAGAUUUUAACAUUAACAUUAAACAUUAUACAAUAUCUAUAUUGAUAUUUAACAUUAUACAAAUGUAUUUUUAGCUAUGCAUGCAACAAAAAUCACAUAUCAGCAAUAUCAUACAGAGAUUCCUGCUUUACUGAACACUACUAAAGAUGGUGUUGACUCAAUAAGUGUGCUUUAAUUUAGUGCAUAACACAAGAUGUGCUUCAGAAUAGUCAUAGCAGUGCUAAAAAAAAGCACAGGGUUGUACCUGCAGUUUGGAAGCUCCACCUUUAAUGAGACCACAGAUAAUCUGCUCCACCCUCUCAGGGUCUCUGAUGUGAACGGUGUUUUUCUCGAACUCUGGCAUCUGCAGCAACAAGAAACAACCAAUGAGAUCGAGGCAUUCAGUGGUGUGCUGAAAUAUUCCCUCCCUUCUCCCUAAAGCCUUGCUGAUGUCACUGUCAGGAGGAGGAGCCAAAGGAGAGCAGACGCUGCAGUCUCACAACCAUACAGAAGAAACACACACAAGCUGCAGUCUUUAAGAAGAAAUCCACUGAGGCAGAAGACAAUAAUAAACCACAGGUUUUCAUCUUUACACACUGAUUCUUCAAUGUAUGAGGGCUCAAUGAAUGUCUCAAGACCAUUACUGAUACUGAGGAUUGAUACAACUCAUCAAGCAAGAACAUUUGAGCUUGUUUACCAUAUUUGAAGUGUGCUAAUCAGUGUUUACAUGCUAAUGACAGGCAAUCACAUUAAGCAGUUGUGUCUCUAUGUCUGAAUUAAAACAAUUUGACUUGUAUGGGUUGUUUACAUCGUCUUUACAAAGAUUUUGAAGUGUGAAAGUUUUGGUGAAAUGGACUUUCAGUGAAAGGACAAGAAUCUCUCGGGUUUCAAUCAAAACACAUUAAAGCGGUACAGUAGUUUACCC